rnacentral:rRNA from 1 species
GGCAGCACGGACUUCGGUCUGGUGGCGAGUGGCGAACGGGUGAGUAAUGCAUCGGAACGUGCCCAACUGUGGGGGAUAGCUCGGCGAAAGCCGGAUUAAUACCGCAUACGAUCCACGGAUGAAAGCGGGGGACCUUCGGGCCUCGCGCAGUUGGAGCGGCCGAUGUUAGAUUAGGUAGUUGGUGGGGUAAAGGCUCACCAAGCCGACGAUCUAUAGCUGGUCUGAGAGGACGACCAGCCACACUGGGACUGAGACACGGCCCAGACUCCUACGGGAGGCAGCAGUGGGGAAUUUUGGACAAUGGGCGCAAGCCUGAUCCAGCAAUACCGCGUGCAGGAAGAAGGCCUUCGGGUUGUAAACUGCUUUUGUACGGAACGAAAAGGUCUGGGUUAAUACCCUGGGCUCAUGACGGUACCGUAAGAAUAAGCACCGGCUAACUACGUGCCAGCAGCCGCGGUAAUACGUAGGGUGCAAGCGUUAAUCGGAAUUACUGGGCGUAAAGCGUGCGCAGGCGGUUAUGUAAGACAGGCGUGAAAUCCCCGGGCUCAACCUGGGAAUUGCGCUUGUGACUGCAUAACUAGAGUACGGUAGAGGGGGAUGGAAUUCCGCGUGUAGCAGUGAAAUGCGUAGAUAUGCGGAGGAACACCAAUGGCGAAGGCAGUCCCCUGGACCUGUACUGACGCUCAUGCACGAAAGCGUGGGGAGCAAACAGGAUUAGAUACCCUGGUAGUCCACGCCCUAAACGAUGUCAACUGGUUGUUGGGUAUUUACUUACUCA